rnacentral:rRNA from 1 species
UCCGUAGGCGGGCGUCUAAGUCAGUGGUGAAAUCUUACAGCUCAACUAUAAAAUUGCCAUUGAUACUGGAUGUCUUGAAUUAGUGUGAAGUGGUUAGAAUGUGUAGUGUAGCGGUGAAAUGCAUAGAUAUUACACAGAAUACCAAUUGCGAAGGCAGAUCACUAACACUAUAUUGACGCUGAGGGACGAAAGCGUGGGGAGCGAACAGGAUUAGAUACCCUGGUAGUCC